CCUGCUCCCAGAGGUGUUGCAGGUGUGGCUGCUGCAACAUGCACACCAGUAGGUGACAGAGAAGAAAGAGGCUUUGACUACAUUCAGUGUUCUGACCUGUGAACAUCUGAAUGAUUAGUAGCCUAACAUU
ensembl:snoRNA Gm23527 small nucleolar RNA SNORA17